CCUGACCUAGAGGUGUUGUAGGUAUGCCUGCUGUGACACAUGUGUGUUCGUAGGUGGCAGGUAAGAAAAAGUCUAUGUCUCUCCUCAGAGUUCUGACCUAUGAACAUCGGACUAGUUAGUAGCCUAACACU